CUGACGUAGCAGUAAAAUUUCGCGUGCGUGAUAGGUUUCGAAUAGAGGUUGUGGAUUUAUUGUGAACUGGUUUGAACUGGGAGUAUUAUAUCAACAUUUAGGGAAGAUUGACUUAGGUAACAUUUUCAGCAGGUUUCCAAUCGGCUUUCUUCAAAAGUACAAACCUCGCUGUAUAAUCCAUCGCGUAAAGAUCCCUGCCCAUGGUAAACAAAGCGUGAUGUGUGUGAUUUUCCCUGUUUGCUGAAGCUAAUCAAUCCAAUUGGUUCAAACCAGCGACGACGGCAGAGUUGUAUUUACCGACGUGAGGUAUGAUGGAUUCCCCAGACAGUGAAGGAAUUGGAAAACUAUUAGUCCUGAAAUGCGAGUCUCCGCGUGUUUGAAAUCCGGCGAACAGUUUGUUUGAUUAACUGAUUGGAAAAUAUGAAGCGUACUACGGACCGUUCCCGAUAUACAGUAGGCUGUUUGCUGUUUGGCACAAAAUUGCCUACUUCAAGCAUCAUUGACUUACCAGAUUAAGACCUAAAUCGUACCUAACGAUGGGUGGGAAAUGUUCCAAUAUUUAUGUACAAACCCUUACUACCGGUUACGAUUGGCUGUAUUCCGUGCGGGCCGUUAUGUGACCGAGCAAUGCUUUACCCAACUAACAAUUCCCGUGCAGUUCCAUUACCAUUUCCACGAGCGACGGGUGGAUAACAAUUCCUUAGAAAAGAAAGGAAAAGAAAAUCUUUUCCCUUGUACCAGCGGGAACACUCAACCGGGUAUGUGAAAAGGUUGGCUUUCCGAGCUGUUUGACUGCACUUAAUACGCUAGUUAGGUUGAGGAGUGGGAACCCUCGUUCUUGUCAAACGUUGCGUGCGGCACGAGCUGCAUUUCACGUACCAAACGCUACGCUAAGCUUGAUUAUGUGUCCUGGAAAGCUUAUCGUAUCGGCCCGGGUUAGCUGUGCGCAUUGGGUGCGAGAAAAAUUAUUAUCAAAAUAAUCGUAAUUAUCGCUUGUAAUUUGUAUUUACUAGAAACGCCUACUAGCCACCGGGGACGUGGGGAAUAUAGUGACGAUUAGUCCAAGGAUUAUUGCCCUGCGUUCGUACGGGGGACGAUUUGCUCUAUGGGUACGGGAAAGAUUGCAUGAUUUAGUUUAAUCUGCCUCCCAUGUUCCGUACCCAUUGCUACACCUCUCCUGAUCACGA